GGUGGCGACCGGCGCGACGGGUGAGUAACGCGUAUGCAACCUACCUAUCGAGAGGGGAAUAACCCGGCGAAAGUCGGACUAAUACCGCAUAAAACAGGGGCACCGCAUGGUGAUAUUUGUUAAAGAGAUUCGCUGAUAGAUGGGCAUGCGUUCCAUUAGGUAGUUGGUGAGGUAACGGCUCACCAAGCCGACGAUGGAUAGGGGAACUGAGAGGUUGGUCCCCCACACUGGUACUGAGACACGGACCAGACUCCUACGGGAGGCAGCAGUGAGGAAUAUUGGUCAAUGGGCGGGAGCCUGAACCAGCCAAGUCGCCGUGAAGGAAGAAGGAUCUAUGGUUCGUAAACUUCUUUUGCAGGGGAAUAAAGUGCAGGACGUGUCCUGUUUUGUAUGUACCCUGAGAAUAAGGAUCGGCUAACUCCGUGCCAGCCGCUGC
rnacentral:rRNA from 1 species